CAUUACAGAUCUCCUUCUGGAUGUGAAGUGAAAACAGGUUCAUCAUACUACACAAGCAAAAUGAGGUAAACUCCAUCAAUCCUGGGAGGAAUCUCUAUUAAAGAUUGGAUUCGAGAAGCAGAAGCACCCAUCACCACCUCAACAAGCAUCAGGAAUUCAGGAUACGUACACAUGAGCAGCUAUGAAAAUCAGCAAGGGUACUAGAUUACCACCACGGCCUUAGCAUUACUAGUAGUGUCUAUCUAACACCAAUGGUCAAACAAUAACAACACAU
rnacentral:lncRNA from 1 species